rnacentral:lncRNA from 1 species
AUCUUUCACGCGAUAAGUUCAUUGUUUUGGUGAUGGCAAUGAAUUUCAAUUUUGAUUUUUGGAGAGUUGAGCGUUGUGAGUAUUUUGAUGUAAUUUUAAGUUUUGUCACCAAAUUGUCAAAGUGGGAGAUUGUUUCGGAUUUUAAGUUGGUAUAUUUCGUGAAGUAAGUCGGAGUCUUGAAGGUUUAUAGAAGAAAAUAUGAAAAUCGAAGACUCGAAGA